GGAGGGUGCAAGCGUUGUUCGGAAUUAUUGGGCGUAAAGAGCGUGUAGGCGGUUCGGUAAGUCAGAUGUGAAACGCCCUGGGCUCAACCCAGGAAGUGCAUUUGAAACUACCAGACUUGAGUACGGGCGAGGAGGGGGGUAAUUCCCGGUGUAGAGGUGAAAUUCGUAGAUAUCGGGUGGAAUACCAGUGGCGAAGGCGCCCCUCUGGACCGAUACUGACGCUGAGACGCGAAAGCGUGGGGAGCAAACAGGAUUAGAUACCCUGGUAGUCCACGCCGUAAACCGAUGAGCACUAGGUGUAGCGGGUAUUGACCCCCCUGCUGUGCCCGUAGCUAACGCAUUAAGUGCUCCGCCUGGGGACUACGGUCGCAAGACUA
rnacentral:rRNA from 1 species